rnacentral:rRNA from 1 species
CAGCCGCCGCGGUAAUACGUAGGUGGCAAGCGUUGUCCGGAAUUAUUGGGCGUAAAGGGCUCGCAGGCGGUUUCUUAAGUCUGAUGUGAAAGCCCCCGGCUCAACCGGGGAGGGUCAUUGGAAACUGGGAAACUUGAGUGCAGAAGAGGAGAGUGGAAUUCCACGUGUAGCGGUGAAAUGCGUAGAGAUGUGGAGGAGCACCAGUGGCGAAGGCGACUCUCUGGUCUGUAACUGACGCUGAGGAGCGAAAGCGUGGGGAGCGAACAGGAUUAGAUACCCCAGUAGUCCCUGUCUCUUAUAC